rnacentral:rRNA from 1 species
AGUGAACGCUGGCGGUAGGCUUAACACAUGCAAGUCGAACGGCAGCACAGUAAGAGCUUGCUCUUACGGGUGGCGAGUGGCGGACGGGUGAGGAAUACAUCGGAAUCUACUUUUUCGUGGGGGUUAACGUAGGGAAACUUACGCUAAUACCGCAUACGACCUACGGGUGAAAGCAGGGGAUCUUCGCACCUUGCGCGAUUGAAUGAGCCGAUGUCGGAUUAGCUAGUUGGCGGGGUAAAGGCCCACCAAGGCGACGAUCCGUAGCUGGUCUGAGAGGAUGAUAAGCCACACUGGAGCUGAGACACGGUCCAGACUCCUACGGGAGGCAGCAGUGGGGAAUAUUGGACAAUGGGCGCAAGCCUGAUCCAGCCAUACCGCGUGGGUGAAGAAGGCCUUCGGGUUGUAAAGCCCUUUUGUUGGGAAAGAAAAGCAGCAGGUUAAUACCCCGCUGUUCUGACGGUACCCAAAGAAUAAGCACCGGCUAACUUCGUG